rnacentral:lncRNA from 1 species
CCGGCCUGGGCCUGUUCUCUCUCAUGCUGCCCCAGUCCUUCAGUCCACACAGCCUCACCUUGCUGUUCUAACAAGACCAAAGGGAUUUUUUGGAUUUUUUUUCUUUUUCUUUUUUCCCUUGUCAGCAUUCCAUCUGGCUCACAGAUAAAAUUAGAGCUUCUUCAGAACCACAGUGAAUCAGCCAGCCUUAACAUAACUUCAGGAGAACAGAUCACAGCUCUGGGAAGAAGCGAGGCCAUGACUGCUGGACCUGUUGCUCUGCACAGCUUCAAACAUUACUGCUGCAUUUAAGUCCAAGAAAUAAAUCCCAGGUUUCCACCUGGUCCCAGUGUCAGGGCAGGUGAUCCUGUUCAUGCCAACCAACCAACCAACCAACCAGCCUACAGGAAGCAAGAGCAGAUGGAAUAAAUCG